AAUUUAGAAACUUAGAUUGACACAGUGUACUAGUGGAUUGAAUCAGAGUUCGCAGUGGAAGCUUAGUGGUCUGAAUUGUUUUUAAGUCGAUAGAACAAUAAAUUGAUUGAAGAAUAUUAUGAUGAAAGAUUAAAUCUUAAAUUUUAAAAAUUGAUUAUGAUUUGAGAAAAAAAAAGUGAUCCUGAAUUCUAAAUAUUUGAGCAAGAAAAAAAUUUCAAAGGCAAAAUUUUUUUUUAGGAGGAA
rnacentral:lncRNA from 1 species